ensembl:lncRNA
CCACAGAAAGCUUGAAAUCUACAUAUGGAAAAAAAAUCCUACACUUUAAUUUCCAUGUUUUCAAAAAACAUGCUGGGAAUAAAAUGUUGUUAGAAUUGACAUAAUACCCUUACUUCUACACAUUUAAGAGGAGGGAUAAAAACAGUUACAUCACAAUGGUGAGCCCUCAGAGAGGACAAUUACAGGGUACUGUGAGAGUACAAGAGAUGGCCCUUCCCCUGUGUGCCUGAUAAGCAAGGACUAUAUGAGUGAAGUGAUAAUCUAAGUCUCGGCUAUGUAAAGUAUACACUAGAUGGUGGUCAGGAUGGGGAGUUGUGAGAAAACAGUGUUCCAGGUGGAAGAAUCAGCAUAUGCAAAUUCCAUGGAGCUUGAAGAAACCGAGAAUCAUUGUGGGGUUGUUAAGAUUUCAGCCUGACUAGAAUAUAGCUGUACAGAGUACGGCUGGGAGAUGCUAAUACCACAGCAAAAGGAGAUCACACAGGAAAGACCCUUGUGAGGCCUAAUAGGAAGUCUUCAGUUUGUCAUCAGAGCAAUGAAAAUUGGCCUUCUGUGACUCAUGCCUCAGUUCCUGGUUCAGUCAUGUUCUCUACUAUUUUUCCUUGAAAGAGGAGGACAGUCUUAGAUUUUUCCCAGGUCCUCGAUGAGGAACGUGAGUACUAUAUCCAAACUGUGCAGCAAGUGGAAAAACUGAGACUCACAUUCAAGAUUACUUACAAUUGACUAUGAAAAUAUUCAAGGAUGUAUCAUAUUUUUCAUAUCAGAUUUUGAGAAUUCAUGCAUUAUCAUGAUUUGUCCCACGACAGACAGGAUCUCGUUCUGUCACCCAGGCUGGAGUGCAGUGGUGCCAUCUCAGCUCACUACAACUUCUGCCUCGUGGACUCAAGCAAUUCUCUGACCUCAGCCUCCUGAGUAGCUAGGACUACAGUCUCAUAUCUACUCCGUCUCUACAUAUAUUUAAAAGACAGAUGGCAGGAAUCCAUAGAACAAGAACCUGAGGUGUGCAUCACAAAAGGCUGCCUAUGAAGAAAUCCAGAUAUUAAGCUUAGAUAUCUACAUCGAUAUAUCUUAGCAAUAGCUUUUAGAGCCAUCUCUGAUGUCAUCCUGAUUUAUUAUUCAAUAUUGCCACUUUAGCUUUUUUUAGGCAGAAACUACAAAAUAAGUAGAUACGGUCUCGGGACAAACCCUGAGCAUUAUUUAAGUGGCAUCAAAUGCAAAUUUCAAAGAAGUGAAGCUUGUUAGCUUAUUUCAUGUACUACCCUCCAACACAGGGCUCCUCUGUGUUCCAGCUAUUGAAAAAGUGAGAAAUUUCUUCAUGGUGCAUGAAACAGGCAGAACCCCACUACCCCCCAGAAAUGUCCAAAUCCCUGGAGCCUGUUAGUUUGUUACUUCACGUGGCAAAACAGACUUUGCAAAUGUGAUUAUAAGACAAGAAACUUGAGAAGAGUUCUUGAGAGAAGAAACUUCAGAACAGUUAGAGAGAUACAAUGUUUGACUUCCAAAAAUGGAGGAAGGGGGCCUCUGGCCAAGGAAUGUCCUCUAGAAGCUGAAACAUACAAGUGAAUGGAUUAUCUCCUAGAGUCUCUAGUAAGGAAUAUAGCCCUGACCACAUCUUGAUUUUAGACCAUUGAGACCUCUGUUGGAAUUCCAGGUGACUGUAAGGCAAUAAAAUUGUGUUGUUUCAAUCUACUUAAAUUUACAGUAAUUUGUUACAGCAGCAACAGUAAACUAAUAUAGUGUAAAACCGUCCUGAGCGGUCAGAUAAUUGGCAUCUUUGCCCCUUUACAUCUAUCCCAGAAAUAUACUCCUUGGUUACUGCCACAACUGACAAGUCCCUCCAGGUUUCCAAGUGCCCUCAGGUAGUAGAGUACUAGGCCUGGCUGGAAACCACUGCAUGAAUGGACAGUGACUUGCAAUAAAAAUUGAUAAUGAUAUGAUUAAAUUCAAAGAUAAAAAUUAAAAUAUUUUGAUAAACCUUAUAAACCUUUAAUUCAUUUCUAGGCUUUAUUUCCUAUCAUCAAUAAAACUUCUGCGUCAAAACCAUUUCACACUAUAUUGUUUAUAUCUUUCAGUGAAAUCUGUGGCAAGCAAUUUUAUUUUCAACUUCCAGGACAAUACAAACCCAUUUAUCAAGGCAGCCAUUAAGAAACCAUUGCUAGAAGGGAAUCCAAUGGAGGCCCAAAGGAAGGAGAGGUGUAUUUUGACCCUAAAGAAAUAUGAACACUAUUUUAAAACUAUUUAAAAACAAAUGUAGCAUGAUUAACAUUAAAAGCCCAGACAAUUUUGAAUUGUGUUGAUUCUUAAUUCCAUAUACAAAAUAAAUAAAUAAAAGAUUCAUUUUAUUCUCCUAAGUAGUUGAUCAGACAGUAAUACUUUGCUAUUUUAAAAUGCUAUAACUAAUAUUUUUAAAUAUUAAAUUAUAUAUCAUUUGUAUCUUACAAACAUAACCCAUGUUAAUCACAGUUGUAUAGUUUUUCAAACAGCAAGACUUCAAGCAAGCUCUAAUAAGCAACAUCAAAUUUCAAAUAACAGUGAGUAUUAACCAUUCAGUUAAAAAAAUAUGAGCCAAGAAUGCUGGAGUGAACACAUGAAUUGUUUCUUGUUUUCUCCUUAAAAUAUGUAUCUUAUAAACCAGUAUGAAAGUGAAAGUUUAAAAAUUACUCAUAUUUUCCUGAUGUUAAAUAUGACAGAUUUUGACAUGUAUUUAGAGUUUCAAAUUUUCAAAAAUUUUAAAAUUUAACUUUUAAUUAAAUUUAUGUAGUUUUUGGCAGUUUUCUUAGUUUACUAAAGUUUCAAGAAUUCUGGAUACCCUCCAGUAAACUAAGCAGAAAAAAAUUAAAAUGUUGUUACCUGCUUUGUUUCAAACCUUGAUAUAAACAAAAUACUUUAUGUGAUAAACUAUUACAUAUUUAUUAUUUUAACUAUAAGUAAUAAAUACAUCAUCUCCUAAAAAUACAUAUGCUUCUCACUCUUCAUAGGAAUAGGCAACACGUUCUAUUUUCUAAGUAAUUUAUUCUCUAUUAAUCAGAUAGAAAUAAAGAUAACCUUAUAACCACUUUGUCCUAAAAAUACAUAGCGCUUGAUCUAUACUUUGAAAUAUUCUUAAUCAGCUUCAGGCAAUAAAUAACUCAGGAAACUAGCA